AGCGAACGCUGGCGGCAGGCCUAAUACAUGCAAGUCGAACGGCUCUUCGGAGCAGUGGCGGACGGGUGAGUAACGCGUGGGAAUGUGCCCUUUGGUACGGAACAACACAGGGAAACUUGUGCUAAUACCGUAUGUGCCCUUCGGGGGAAAGAUUUAUCGCCAUUGGAGCAGCCCGCGUUGGAUUAGGUAGUUGGUGAGGUAAAGGCGCACCAAGCCUACGAUCCAUAGCUGGGCUGGGAGGAUGACCAGCCACACUGGGACUGAGACACGGCCCAGACUCCUACGGGAGGCAGCAGUAGGGAAUCUUGCGCAAUGGGCGAAAGCCUGACACAGCCAUGCCGCGUGUAUGAUGAAGGUCUUAGGAUUGUAAAAUACUUUCACCGGGGAAGAUAAUGACGGUACCCGGAGAAGAAGCCCCGGCUAACUUCGUGCCAGCCGCCGCAGUAACAC
rnacentral:rRNA from 1 species